rfam:Otolemur garnettii contig007534, whole genome shotgun sequence.
GUCAUGCACCAGUAUUUCCAGCUACUUGGAAGGCUGAUGAAGGAGGAUGGCUUGAGCCCAGAAGUUCUGGGCAAUAGUGCACUUGGCUGAUGAGGUGUCUGCACUAAAUUUGGCAUCAGUAUGGUGACCUUCUGGGAGCAAGGGACCAGCAGGUUUCCUAAGGUGGGGUGAACUGAUACACAUCAGAAACAGAGCCAGUCAAAACUCUUGUUCUGAUCAGUAGUGGUAUCACACAGCCACUGCACUUCAGCCUGGGCAAUACAGUGAGACCUUGUCUU